GACUAUAUAUAUUCGAGAGUCCUGAUCACGUACUGAAGGGGUAGAUCCAACUUGCAAGAUGAAAACGCUGAGAAUAUAUAUUGUCAGAGAUCGAUCGAUAACUACUCGGGUGUUGAAAGUAAGUAUAUAUGGAAUCAAAAGAAUGUGCAAGUGAACAAUGGAUAUUGUCUAGAUAUUUGAGUAGUGAAAAUAGAGUAUAUAUGAGAAAUUAACUUAAUUUUUG
rnacentral:lncRNA from 1 species